GUGGGGAAUUUUGGACAAUGGGGGCAACCCUGAUCCAGCCAUGCCGCGUGCGGGAAGAAGGCCUUCGGGUUGUAAACCGCUUUUGUCAGGGAAGAAAUCCUUUGGGUUAAUACCUCGGAGGGAUGACGGUACCUGAAGAAUAAGCACCGGCUAACUACGUGCCAGCAGCCGCGGUAAUACGUAGGGUGCGAGCGUUAAUCGGAAUUACUGGGCGUAAAGCGUGCGCAGGCGGUUAUAUAAGACAGAUGUGAAAUCCCCGGGCUCAACCUGGGAACUGCAUUUGUGACUGUAUAGCUAGAGUACGGUAGAGGGGGAUGGAAUUCCGCGUGUAGCAGUGAAAUGCGUAGAUAUGCGGAGGAACACCGAUGGCGAAGGCAAUCCCCUGGACCUGUACUGACACUGAGGUGCGAAAGCGUGGGGAGCAAACAGGAUUAGAUACCCGUGUAGUCC
rnacentral:rRNA from 1 species